GACGCUGGCGGUAGGCUUAACACAUGCAAGUCGUGCGAGAAAGUAUCUUCGGAUAUGAGUAGAGCGGCGGACGGGUGAGUAACGCGUAGGAAUCUACCUAGUAGAAGGGGAUAGCCCGGGGAAACUCGGAUUAAUACCGUAUACCUCCUUCGGGAGAAAGAAGGCCUCUCUUUGAAGCUUUCGCUAUUAGAUGAGCCUGCGUAAGAUUAGCUUGUUGGUGAGGUAAAGGCUCACCAAGGCGACGAUCUUUAGCGGGUCUGAGAGGACGAUCCGCCACAUUGGGACUGAGACACGGCCCAGACUCCUACGGGAGGCAGCAGUGGGGAAUAUUGGACAAUGGGCGCAAGCCUGAUCCAGCCAUACCGCGUGUGUGAAGAAGGCCCUAGGGUUGUAAAGCACUUUAAGUUGGGAAGAAAAGUUAUUGGUUAAUAUCCAAUAACCGUGACAUUACCAUCAGAAUAAGGACCGGCUAAUUCCGUGCCAGCAGCCGCGGUAAUACGGAAGGUCCAAGCGUUAAUCGGAAUUACUGGGCGUAAAGCGCGCGUAGGUGGUUUAUUAAGUUGGAUGUGAAAUCCCCGGGCUCAACCUGGGAACUGCAUCCAAAACUGAUUCACUAGAGUACGAUAGAGGGAGGUAGAAUUCACAGUGUAGCGGUGGAAUGCGUAGAUAUUGUGAAGAAUACCAAUGGCGAAGGCAGCCUCCUGGAUCUGUACUGACACUGAGGUGCGAAAGCGUGGGUAGCGAACAGGAUUAGAUACCCUGGUAGUCCACGCCGUAAACGAUGUCAACUAGCUGUUGGAGAACUAUGUUCUUCAGUGGCGCAGCUAACGUAGUAAGUUGACCGCCUGGGGAGUACGGCCGCA
rnacentral:rRNA from 1 species